GACGAACGCUAGCGGCGUGCCUAAGGUAUGCAAGUCGAACGGGGAGCUUCGGCUCCCAGUGGCGAACGGUCGAGUAACACGUAGACAAUCUGCCUCCUGGUGGGGGAUAACCGCGGGAAACUGCGGCUAAUACCGCAUGAGGCGACUCCGGGCAUCCGGGGUCUGCUAAAGGAGCAAUUCGCCGGGAGAUGAGUCUGCGGCCUAUCAGCUAGUUGGUGGGGUAACGGCCUACCAAGGCGACGACGGGUAGCUGGUCUGAGAGGAUGAUCAGCCGGACGGGGGAC
rnacentral:rRNA from 1 species